rnacentral:rRNA from 1 species
AUUGAACGCUGGCGGCAUGCCUUACACAUGCAAGUCGAACGGUAACGCGGGGCAACCUGGCGACGAGUGGCGAACGGGUGAGUAAUGCAUCGGAACGUGCCUGGUAGUGGGGGAUAACUGCUCGAAAGAGCAGCUAAUACCGCAUACGACCUGAGGGUGAAAGGGGGGGAUCGCAAGACCUCUCGCUAUCAGAGCGGCCGAUGUCGGAUUAGCUAGUUGGUGGGGUAAAGGCCCACCAAGGCGACGAUCCGUAGCUGGUCUGAGAGGACGACCAGCCAGACUGGGACGUAGACACGGCCCAGACUCCUACGGGGGGAGGCAGUGGGGAAUUUUGGACAAUGGGCGCAAGCCUGAUCCAGCAAUGCCGCGUGCAGGAUGAAGGCCUUCGGGUUGUAAACCGCUUUUGGUCGGGAAGAAAAGGCUUCACCUAAUACGUGGGGUUCUUGACGGUACCGGCAGAAUAAGCACCGGCUAACUACGUGCCAGCCGCCGCCGUAACAC